AUGCUCGGCAUCCGCAUCCUCUGCGGCGCGCCACCGGCCACCGCCUCGGCACCGCCGCCGAGGGGCCGCUGCAGCGCGCCGGAGAAGAGCGGCCGGGCGUUCCUGCUGGGCGUCCCCGCGGCCGUCUCCCUCUCGCUCGUCCUCUGGUCCACCCCAGUGAGCGCCGGCAUCCUGUCAGGGUCCACCGGGCUGGAGUCGGUUCCAGCGCCCCCGAUGCCCCGGCUCGAGUUCCUGGACAAAUGGAAUGCGGAGAACCAGAGGAAGUACGCGGAGAAUGACUCGAGGUUCAAGUCCUCCAAGGUGCUCAAGGAGCUGCUCGAGAGGUCCAAGCAGAACAAAGAAAAGAACGAGAGGGAGAUCCAGGACAAGUACUGCCUGCGGGGCGCCGAGUGGGGCGUCGGCGACUGCUCCACGGUGGGGAUGACGGACCAGGAGAAGGAGGACUUCAUCACGGAGCUCAAGAAGAGAGUUGGGGAAUGA
rnacentral:rRNA from 1 species